UUUCGGUAGUGCUCUUCGGAGCGGUUGAAUCCGAUAUUUGCGGAAUCUCCAUGGACCACGGUCUCCUGUGUUGGCCUUAAUCAGAGCUGAUCUGCACCACCAGAGGGUAUGAGAAAUUUCCAACAAAGCGUAUAAAAGGAAAAAAGUCAUCUGAGCAGAAGGUGUGCCGGUGUGAGAAAGACCCCAGAUGUUCCUGGCGCGGCUGCUGUCCAAAUCAAUUAUUCCACUCUCAGCAUGAAUUCAAUUCUCCUGCACUCAUCAGAGGUGUGAAUAGGUCCUGAAUGGUUGAGAGCUAAAGAGGCCUGUGGCAAUAGGAGGCAUGAAUUGAAUUGGAUUGGAUUGGAUCGGAUUGGACGGUCACAAACUGACCCUCUGGUGUUGGCAGGGGGCCCUGCUGCUCAAGAAGAGGAAGUCCUGAUGAUGUCCGUGACAGCAGCCCUCAGGGCCUGGACUGGAGCCAGAGAGUCCAUAAUGACACGCAGUCAGAUGGACCAAUGACUUCACAGUACUUAAAUUACAACGUUAAAUCACUGGAGGGUCAUCUGUGUAACACCACAGCAAUCAGAUAAAGUUAUGUGUGUUGAUAUGAUGAAAUGAUCUUCUUUAUGUUUAAAACAUGGGUACGAUUUACCAGGAUAGGUGAACACUCACCUUUAUGUUGCUCCAAACCUGUAUGACUUUCUUUAUUUUUCACUGUAAAAAAAGCAAUUGCAUACUUUACAGUUUACAAAACCCUUUGAGUCACAAAUAUUAAGAUAUGUGAAUACUUCAAACUACAUUGAAUUCCCGCAAACACUAGUCAAACACUCUUGUCUGAACAAAGAAAUUCAUAUUGAACAAUAUGUUCUCGGCAUGCACUGCAGAAUGAAUAUAUUGUACAGGUACUGUUACAGGAUUAUUAUUUAAACUUUAUUUAAACUUUUGUUGCUCAUUUUUUUGGUCCAUACAUUGAAAGUCAGUGGUCUCCAAGCUGUUUGGUUAUCAUCAUUCUUAAAAAUAUCAUCUUUUGUGUUCCACAGAAGAACAAAACUGACAAGGGUGAGUAAAUGAUGCUUUUUGGGUGAACUAUUAAUGAUACAACACUAAAUGACUUUGCCUAUUUUAGUGAAUUUGCUCUAUUUGUGUCUACAGACCAGCUUGGAUUAUAGUUCCCCAACAAACACGGUGUACAGUAAAGACAGAUGUUUUGGCUGUGAACAUGUCGUCUGCAAUAGAUAAUGGUGAUCUAAUGAGAGAAGCCAAGCUGGCUGUACAGAUGGCCGUCCUGAGGUGGCUAAAACAUCCAGUACGAAAGAUGUCACAAGAUCUGCCUCCAAGGCCCCUAUUAGAGGAAUCAUACAAUUAAACACCGUUUAGAAACUCACUGGUACAGCAUAGUGAACUAAAAUAUUACAUAAUGAGUAUGUUUAGAUUAUCUAAAGAUAAUUCAAAUGAUGUUUUAGCACAGAAAUGAAUUCAAAUGUGUCCCAAAAGACUAAUCGGUUUCCUGGUGGAAAUUGUAUAUGGAGCUUUAAUUGAAUACACCAUUUAAUCCUCCUGACCCGGCUAAAAAUAAUCUGUGUUUUAUGCUUUCUGUGAAGUAAAAUUUAGAAAUGAUUGAAGUCAACGUGAAUUGCAGUUUGGAAAUUAAUUUACCUCUGUAUUGUGAUGUAGUGCAACAGGAUAUUAAAUGGGAAAACAUGUAGGUUGGGACUGGGAAUUGAUUGGAACAAUGAAUUUACUAAAACAAUGCCUUAAUUAGCAUAUUUGUUUACAUUAUCAAUCAGCCCACAUGGUCUAGUCAAGUCAAGUCAAGUCAAAUUUAUUUAUAUAGCGCUUUUACAAUUGGUAA